GCGCCGCGCACCGCCGCCGACCAUGAGCGAGGACAGCCGCGGAGACAGCCGCGCCGAGAGCGCCAAGGACCUGGAGAAGCAGCUUCGCCUGCGCGUGUGCGUGCUCAGCGAGCUCCAGAAGACCGAGCGGGACUAUGUGGGCACGCUGGAGUUCCUGGUGUCGGCAUUCUUACACCGAAUGAACCAGUGUGCAGCAUCAAAAGUUGACAAAAAUGUGACAGAAGAAACAGUGAAGAUGUUGUUCUCAAACAUUGAAGACAUCCUUGCAGUACAUAAAGAAUUCUUAAAAGUCGUGGAAGAAUGCUUACACCCCGAACCUAAUGCUCAACAAGAAGUGGGAACCUGCUUUCUUCACUUUAAAGACAAGUUUCGUAUCUAUGAUGAGUAUUGUAGUAACCAUGAGAAGGCACAAAAAUUACUUCUUGAACUCAACAAAAUAAGAACAAUCCGGACGUUUCUUUUGAACUGCAUGCUGCUUGGAGGACGGAAGAACACAGAUGUUCCCUUGGAAGGAUAUUUAGUAACACCAAUACAAAGAAUAUGCAAGUACCCUCUUAUUUUGAAGGAGUUGCUGAAGCGGACUCCACGGAAACACAGUGACUAUGCAGCAGUGAUGGAAGCCCUCCAAGCCAUGAAAGCUGUCUGUUCCAACAUAAACGAGGCCAAGAGACAGAUGGAGAAGUUAGAAGUUUUAGAGGAAUGGCAGUCUCACAUUGAAGGCUGGGAGGGGUCCAACAUCACUGACACCUGCACUGAAAUGCUAAUGUGUGGAGUCUUACUGAAAAUUUCUUCUGGAAAUAUUCAAGAACGGGUGUUUUUUCUUUUCGAUAAUCUUUUGGUGUACUGCAAAAGAAAACACAGACGGUUGAAGAACAGCAAGGCAUCUACAGAUGGACAUCGGUACCUUUUUCGUGGCCGGAUCAACACGGAGGUGAUGGAAGUGGAGAAUGUGGAUGAUGGCACGGCUGAUUUCCAUAGCAGUGGACACAUUGUUGUUAAUGGAUGGAAGAUACAUAACACAGCAAAAAAUAAAUGGUUUGUUUGUAUGGCAAAAACACCUGAAGAGAAGCAUGAAUGGUUUGAAGCUAUUUUGAAAGAAAGAGAACGGCGGAAAGGUUUAAAAUUAGGAAUGGAGCAAGAUACCUGGGUCAUGAUCUCUGAACAGGGUGAGAAACUUUAUAAAAUGAUGUGCAGACAAGGAAAUCUGAUCAAAGACAGAAAAAGAAAACUGACUACGUUCCCUAAAUGCUUUCUUGGAAGUGAAUUUGUGUCAUGGCUGUUGGAAAUUGGAGAGAUUCACAGGCCUGAGGAAGGCGUGCACUUGGGACAAGCAUUAUUAGAAAAUGGAAUCAUUCACCAUGUUACUGAUAAACAUCAGUUCAAACCAGAACAGAUGUUAUAUAGAUUUCGCUAUGAUGAUGGAACAUUUUAUCCAAGAAAUGAGAUGCAGGACGUGAUUUCAAAGGGUGUGAGAUUAUAUUGUCGUCUUCAUAGCCUUUUUACUCCAGUGAUAAGAGAUAAAGAUUACCAUUUAAGGACCUACAAAUCUGUGGUCAUGGCCAACAAACUGAUAGACUGGUUAAUUGCACAGGGAGAUUGCCGCACCAGAGAAGAGGCAAUGAUAUUUGGCGUUGGACUCUGUGACAAUGGAUUUAUGCACCAUGUCCUUGAAAAAAGCGAAUUCAAAGAUGAACCCCUACUUUUCCGUUUUUUUUCGGAUGAGGAAAUGGAAGGAUCAAAUAUGAAACAUCGACUUAUGAAACAUGACUUAAAAGUUGUGGAAAAUGUUAUAGCUAAGUCAUUAUUGAUUAAAUCCAAUGAAGGCAGCUAUGGCUUUGGGCUAGAAGACAAAAAUAAAGUUCCAAUAAUAAAGUUGGUAGAAAAGGGAUCUAAUGCUGAGAUGGCUGGCAUGGAAGUCGGGAAAAAGAUUUUUGCUAUUAAUGGUGACCUAGUUUUUAUGAGACCUUUCAAUGAAGUGGAUUGCUUCCUGAAAUCGUGUUUAAACAGCAGAAAACCUCUAAGAGUUCUUGUGAGCACAAAGCCAAGAGAGACAGUGAAAAUUCCAGAUUCAGCUGAUGGACUUGGCUUCCAGAUCCGAGGAUUUGGCCCUUCUGUUGUGCAUGCUGUAGGAAGAGGAACUGUGGCUGCAGCAGCUGGCCUUCACCCUGGACAGUGUAUUAUCAAGGUGAAUGGAAUCAAUGUCAGCAAAGAGACACAUGCCAGUGUCAUUGCACACGUUACAGCCUGCAGGAAGUACAGGCGGCCAAUGAAGCAAGAUUCCAUACAAUGGGUUUAUAAUAGCAUUGAGAGUGCUCAAGAAGACCUUCAAAAAUCUCACUCCAAGCCCCCCGGAGAUGAAGCAGGGGAUGCUUUUGACUGUAAAGUAGAAGAGGUUAUUGACAAAUUCAACACUAUGGCCAUCAUUGAUGGGAAGAAGGAGCAUGUGAGUCUGACAGUGGACAAUGUCCACCUGGAAUAUGGUGUCGUGUAUGAGUACGACAGCACAGCUGGCAUCAAGUGCAAUGUGGUGGAAAAGAUGAUUGAGCCCAAAGGUUUCUUCAGCUUAACUGCCAAGAUUCUUGAAGCCCUGGCUAAAAGUGAUGAGCAUUUUGUACAAAACUGUACCAGCCUAAAUUCUCUAAAUGAAGUGAUUCCUACUGACCUUCAGAGUAAAUUCAGUGCCCUUUGCAGUGAAAGAAUUGAACACAUAUGUCAGAGAAUAUCCAGUUAUAAAAAGGUUCAAGCUUCAGAAAGGUCUUACAGUUUCACAGCACGGCAUGCUGUCUGGGAGCACAGUUUUGAUCUUCACAGUGUAAGCAGCAUAUUUCCAGUACCUGUGACUAUGGGGUUCCUCCUGCUGCCUCCUCCUCUCUUAGGAAUAUCCCAGGAUGGAAGACAGCACUGCAUUCCUGAGGAUCUUCCUUCUCAAGAAAUGCUCUUAGCAGAGAGGGCCCCUGUCUGAUUCUUACCCUUUGGGACAGUUCAGGCACCUUUAGACACAGUACACAACCCUUCCUACCAUAUGGGCAGGGGGACAUCCUGUAUUCACAGGCAUUUGUAUUGAGCUACAAGUUGGAAAGUCAGUCCCCCUAGCAAGGGAAUCUUCUGCCAGCUCUCCCCGAUUACUCCAUUAACACUUCUUGACAUCAACCUAUUCACUUCCUUUUCAGCUUGUACCAAAAUUUCUAACUAUCUGGCUUUUAUGUGUAUUAUAUAAUUGUAUAUAUACAAUCAUGCACUGCAUAACAUUUCAGUCAAUGACAGACCAUAUGUAUAUGUAUAUAUAUACACACACAUAUAUAUAUGUGUAUACAUAUAUACGUAUAUAUACAUAUAUACACACACAUAUAUAUACAUAUAUAUGUAUAUAUAUAUAAAAUGGUGGUCCCAUAAGAUUAUACUACUAUAUUUUGACUCUACUUUUUCUAUGUUCAGAUAGAUGCACCUACUGAUGUAUUUUUCAGAAUACAUCCCCGUUGUUAAGCAAUGCAUUACGGUAUUAUAUAUAUGGCACAAGUAUUAUAUAUAUGGCACAUUGCCAUUACUUUUAAUGGGAAAAACCGCAAUCACUUUUGCUCCAACCUAGUAAUUGCAAUAAACAAUUGUAUAUAGC
rnacentral:sRNA from 1 species